GGAGGGUUUGUGGGAGUUUCCAGGUUCAAGUUCCAUUGGGGACAAAAAUUUGCAUAUAAUACUUACUUUCUUUAUUUUUUAUUUUUAUUUUUUGGGUGAAAUGGAUCCUUAUAAGACAAAUACGAUACAUUAUGCACUGCAUGUUAUAACAAUUAAGUUCUUUGAUUAUUUUUAGUAAGCUUUACAUGAUAAAAUGACACUUAUCAAUAGCAAGUAUCCUAUCUUAACUUUGUCCUUGAGGCCGGACUCAAGUGGUCAAGGGAUUGGGAGGGUUUGUGGGAGUUUCCAGGUUCAAGUUCCAUUGGGGACAAAAAUUUGCCUAUAAAAAAAAGUAUCUUAUCUUAGCUUCAUCUUAUUGUACAUAGAUACAUGAUGCAAUGUGUGAUAUAAUGAUAAAGGAUCUUUAAUUAUUUUUAAUAGUUUCUGAGAAAUUGGAAUUUGAAGAAAAAGAUGAAAAGGAUUCCUUAAAGAAACUAUUAGAUUUUUUGGUUAGAAUGUACAUUAAGAAUUGAUGAAGAAAAAGGGAAUGACAAAGGUAAGGUCCACAACUCCCUGAUUGUGUCAAGGUAAUGACUGUGAAUGAUCAUCAACUCCAGGAAAGGAUGCACACUUGGAAUGUUGAAAUUUAAUUAAAUUCAUUCUUGUGGUGAAUAUUGGCAAGUUGUUAUUUAAGUAAAUUCAUUCUUAUAGUGAAUAUUGGAGGGUUGUUAUUUAAAAGAUUUUCAGUAUGAUGGUAAAUAAAAACUUUUGCUUAAUAAAUUAGUUUCUCCUCUAUCAACUGGAAGUAGAAAAUUUUCCUAUCAAAAAGAAAAAAAGUCAGUUUUUGUUUUUCAGAUAUUUUGCUUUUUUAGGGAGGGAAUGAUGAUGAGCAAGUAAAGUUAGAACUUUGAAGGUGGUUUAUAAAUAUUUAUAUAUUAACAAUGAACAAGGGUAUAUCUGACCGGCUGAAUCUUGGAAAUAAAAAUUGAAAUGGUGGAUAGCAAGGAGAGAAGCAUUGUUUAGAUCUCUGUUGGAAGGAGAUGAGAUGACCCUUGUGGAGUGAUGAAUUGCUUUAUUAGUAUAUUCCCAUGUGGUAGUAUGUCGAUGUUGAGGUCUCCUUGGUAUAAUGGAGGAGUUCAGUCAU
rnacentral:lncRNA from 1 species